rnacentral:rRNA from 1 species
UACGUAGGGUGCGAGCGUUGUCCGGAAUUACUGGGCGUAAAGAGCUCGUAGGCGGUUUGUCGCGUCUGCUGUGAAAACUGGAGGCUCAACCUCCAGCCUGCAGUGGAUACGGGCAGACUAGAGGUAGGUAGGGGAGAAUGGAAUUCCCGGUGUAGCGGUGAAAUGCGCAGAUAUCAGGAGGAACACCGGUGGCGAAGGCGGGUCUCUGGGCCGAUACUGACGCUGAGGAGCGAAAGCGUGGGGAGCAAACAGG